UCCCUGGAGGACUAGUGGUUAGGAGUUGGUGCUUUUACUACUACAGCCCUGGUUCAAUUCCCAGCCAGAGAA